rnacentral:rRNA from 1 species
GACGAACGCUGGCGGCGUGCUUAACACAUGCAAGUCGAACGGAAAGUCCCUGCGUCUGGAGGUUGCGCUAGUUGCGAACGUGUGAGUAACACGUGAGUAACCUGCCCUUGACUUUGAGAUAACUUAAGCAAACUGAAGCUCAUACCGGAUAGGAGCUCCUGCUGCAUGGUGGGGGUUGGAAAGUUUCGGCGGUUGGGGAUGGACUCGCGGCUUAUCAGCUUGUUCGUUGGGUAGUGGCUUACCAAGGCUUUGCCCGGUAGCCGGCCUGAGAGGGUGACGGGCCUGAUUGGGACUGAGAUAAGACGCAGCCUCCUCCGGGAGGGAGCAGUGGGGAAUAUUGCACUGUGGGCGGAAGGGUGAUGCAGCCACGCCGCGUGGGGGAUGAGGGCCUUCGCGUUGUAAACCGCUGUCGCCUGAGACGAAGCGUGAGUGACGGUACUGGGUAAAGAAGCACCGGCUAACUCCGUG